CAGGCUGACAUGGGAGCCUCUCCCUCUCAGUGGUCAGGGCUCCCGCUGUCAGCCCUCCACAGGUGACUGUGGCACCCGCUGGGAGCCCCAGGGUGGACAGACAGUGAGUGGGUGCUCCAGCAAGCUCAAGAAGUUUAUAUCAUUGGUCUGAGCAUCAAGAUUAGGCACAUCAAGCUGACAUCUUGUAUCCUAUGUUUCAGCUGAAUGCCUUUUGAAACAGCCAAGAAUUUCACUCUAGAUAUUACUGCUUGUGAAGAUUAUAGAAUUGGCAGCAAAGAAAACAAAUAUCCUCUGUUUAUCCACAGGCAAUCAGUGCAGACAUCCUGAAUGGUUUGUUUUGAUAUUGCUUCAACAAAAGCCCAGCCCUGGGAUGAAGGUGUCUGUGUGAACUAGAAUUGCAGUCCCCAUGGUAAAAAGUCGGGGCUUCACCUUCUGAGUCAAUGGUCCCUGCUCUGUUCAUUUAGCUUUACCUGGCAUGGUAAAAAUGUUACAUUCAGGAUGUGUUUUUUUU